rnacentral:rRNA from 1 species
UAAUGCACCGGAUCCCAUCAGAACUCCGAAGUUAAGCGUGCUUGGGCGAGAGUAGUACUAGGAUGGGUGACCCCCUGGGAAGUCCUCGUGUUGCAUCCC